UAUUAUAACGAGGGCUUCAUGAGAUUAACUUAACUGUAAGCUUAAUUUGAUCUUAAACUAUAGUAUCUAACUUAUUUAAAUUUAAACUUAAUUUGUUUUUAAUAAUAUUCAACCACAAAUAUGGAGGACUAGGGAUAAUUCUGAAAAAUAAUAGUAAUGAAAGACUGCCAUAUCAUGCAUCAAAAUCUGUUAUAUAUGAAAACAAUUAUAUUAUGCAUCAACCCACACAUAAAUAAAGAUAUCAUUGAAACAAAAUAGAGGUAUUAAUUUGAUUCAGAUAUAUUAGUACUUUAGUAUUCAAUAGCCAAGAUUUCAAAUAAAUGGCAAAAAGAUGAUGAUGCAACUUUUUUUGUCUUUUUAUCUUUUUAAGGCCGCACCUGCAGCAUAUGGAGGUUCCAGGCCAGGGGUCCAAUCAGAGCUGUAGCCACUGGCCAAUGCCAGAUCCACAGCGACUCAGAAUCUGAGCUUCAUCAGCUUCCUACACCACAGCUUAAGGCAAUGCUGGAUCCUUAACCCACUGAGCAAGUAUUUAUCAGCAUUUAUCAGGUACUAGUUGUUGAGAAUGUAAACAAAAUCAUUCUCACAGACUGUGGGCAGGAGUGUAGCUGUACUUACUACAACUUCAAAGAUGGCAGAAACUAUGAAUAUAUGCAUUUUAAAUGCAUAUAUUACCUGACAAUUGACUCAAAUAUGUAUAUCAAUAGUUCAAUUUCUAGGAACUUAUACUUACACAUGAAAAAUAUAUACUUAUUGUGAAAUUUUAUGUAAUAGAAAAAAUUCAGGGGCAACAUGAAAAGGAAUGGUAGAUUAAUUUUACUGUAUAUUUAUAAGGAAGUAUUGUGCACUAUCAGAAAAACUAAGAAUUAGACCUACAUGGACUGCUAUUGAAAUAUCAUCCAGAUAUUGCACACACAAAAAAAUAACUUUACAUAUGCAGAAUAAAAUACAUAUAUUUAAACACAAUUACAUUCACACAGAUUAUUAUAUCAUGGAUCUUAAACAGAUUAAGUGACUCCCUCUGGAGAAGUGGAAUGAAAAAUAUACUGAGACAAAUAAGAAAUUUAUUCUAUACUUUAUCCAAUUUUCUAUGGCUUUCAUCUUUACUAUUUAGUAUUAUCUAUUACAUUUCAAUUUUUCUUUAAAAAAUAGAAUUAUAUUACAAUUGUGUAUAUUACACAACUAAAAUUUAUAAAGCCUUAUAUACCAUUAAAUAUCUUAUAUGUCAUAAUAAAAAGAAUAACUUAACUGGUAAGAAUAACAAAAAUAAUACACCCUCUGAAAAUAAGUAAAAUACAAAAUGCAUAAAUUGGUUAAAAACAGUGUAACUAUAUAAAUAUGUCCUCACAAUUUGUUACAUCUUAUUGAUUCUUCAAUAUGGGCAUUACACCAUUCUAGGUUAUAUGAUAAACAAGACAUUAUAGACCUUACAUUGUACCAUAGAGGGAAAUGGUUAUUAAUAAUACAAUUGUAGAACUGUAUUCUUUAAUUGUACAGUUGCACUAUUUAAUUAUAAUUAUCAUAAAUUCAUUGAUGGAGAGGAAAUCAGAAUCAGACCUAAGAAGACUUCAGCAUUCCAGGAAUGAAGUCAAAUGACCCCUUUCAUGGUGGAUUAUGCACUUAUGCACUAGGAGAUAUAUUUCUUCUCCAGAGAUUCCUCAUAGCAUUUUUCAUGUCUGAAUUUCUCAGAGUGUAGAUUAAUGGGUUCAGUAUGGGGGCUAUGACUGUAUAAAACACACUUACUGACUUGUACAUGGAGAAGGUCUUAUCAGGUCUUCCAUACAUGAAGACACAGGGAACAAAGAAGCAGACAAUCCCAGCAAUGUGGGAACCACAGGUCUUGAGGACCUUCUGCCUCUCUUCCUGACUCAGGUUCUGUAGACCGUGCAAGAUAACUCUAUAGGAGAUGGGUAAGAGCAGAAACACAAAACUGCAGAUAAGUCCUCCAUUGACCACCAAUAAGAGAUCAAUGAUAGAGGUGUCAGUGCAGACAAUUUUCAGUAAGAGGUAUAUGUUACACAUAUGUGAUCAAUGAUAUUGGGGCCACAGAAUGGAAGCUCAUAAAUAGUGCUCAGUUUAAUUAUUGAGUGCAGAAAACAUCUAACCCUGGAUACCACAAGCAGCAUGACACACCCAUUGUCUCAUGAUAACUAAAUAAUGCAAGGGCUUACUAAUGGCCACAUAGCAGUCCUAGGCCAUCACCAACAGAAGGAAGACUUCUGAUCCACCAAAAAAUUGUUCAGUAAAGAGCUGCAUCAUAGAGGAUUGGAAGGAUAUGAUAUUUUUCCCAAAGAACAAACUUGAAAUCAGGUAGGGAAAAAUAGAUGAGGAAUAAAUGACAUCCAUAAAUGAUAAAGUAGCAAGAAAAAAUUACAACGGUUAGUUCAGGGUUUCACUGUAAGUUACAGUCACUACAAUAAGCAGGUUGCCCACCAUAGUCAAUAUAUAGAAGACCAAGGACAUCACAAAAAAGACUUUCUGUUCCCUUGAUUUCUGUCUGAGGCCCAAGAGGAUAAAGUGAGUCAAAUUGUUCCUUGUUUCCAUUUCUUUGGUUUCAUCUCUUCUAUAUAGGAGUUGAUGUCAGAUAUUAUAAACUGUUUACCUAUAAAUCAAAUGAAUUUUUUUAAAAAUUACAUGGAUUAUAAACUUAAAUUUAUUUGACCAAAAAUGCACCUAGCAAAUUUAUUUGCAUCAAAUCUGUCAUAGAUAUUAUGAUCACCAUGUUGAAUAAUACAUGGUUCAUUGUUCUCAGUGAUAAGAUAUAUAAUAAGAGUUCCACUCAUACAGACUAUUUUAAUAAGUGUCAGAAUAGAAUAUUCACAUGGAUAUGGGGUCACAGUUCAAUAACAUCUAAAUCAACUCUAGGAUCUGGGACAGCUUCCCAAGGAAAGCAAUACCUUUGCUGGGUUUUAAAGGAGAAAAAAUAGAACAAGAGUGGAUGGAAAGGGCAUACCAUUAAAGAUGCAGCAUGUAUAAAAUCACUUAAAUUAAUUGACAUAUUUAAAGUGAGGAGAACAAAUGUUGAAUGGAUCUGUGUAUACAACAACCUAAUUGACAUCUCCAAAGAGGUAUCAAUUUAAUAUUUAUUAAAAUAAAUUUUUAAUUUUCCAAAACAAAUCUAUUCUUUCCUAGGUGUUCUCCAUCUCAUUACAUGGUAAAGAAUAGUUUCAUGAAAGGGAAAGUUAAUAUUCCAAGAAUACCUAUCAAUUUUAUGCAAAACUAUAUGUCAUAUGCUAUGUUCCUACUUAGAUGUUUUAUAUAUAUAUAUAUAUGCAGCUAUCUAUACAUAUAUAUGUGCAUCUAUAUAAUACAUAUACUUAUAAAAUCACACAAUGUAUAAUAUUUAACUUUUAGAGUAACAGGUAUUACUAUCCUCAAUUUUUAAUGGAAAAAACAGGCUUAGAAUAUAUAAUUUCCUCAAAGUAAUAUAUUUUUCAGUGAGAGAAAUGGAAUUAUAAUCUGACUUCAAAACGUCUCUCAUUCCAGAAAAAGGUUUUCAAUUUUUCAAUUGUUAUAAAUCCUAGUGUAUAAUUUCCUACAUUUUGAAUUAAUUUACACAACAGAAAAGUCUGCCAUCCACUGUCAAUUAUUAUAAGUUUAUCUUUUGGAUUCUUGUUCACAGUCAGUAGGGAGUCUUUUUAAUUACCUCAUAAGGAUCUGGAAGUGUCUUUUCAAAUCAGUGCAACCACCAAGUAUAAAAACCUGCAUAAGUUCUUAAAGACAUGCUUGAUUUCACAUGAUUAUGUCUGCCCAUUUUCUUCAGAGUCUCCUAAAUAUUUAAGAAAAUUGUUAUUACUCACACUGUAGAUUUAUCUUAAAAGAAUUCCACAAUGCUCACAUGAAAAAAAAUCCACAUUAGGAAAAUUAAUCCAAAGGGCAAAAAAUCAUCAUCAUAUAUGAAGUUAACAAACAUAUAUUUUAAAAGGGAAAUUGUUCUCUGGUAAGCAGUUUCUUUCCUUAUCUCUUCAAAAAUUUAAAAUAAAUAAAGAAAAUUUACCAUGGAGUUUUAUUUGCCACCUCAUUCUAUGUGUUACCAAGGAAAAAUAAAUUUUACUGAGAUGUUAAGAAGACACUCUUGAAAAACCUCACAUUUCUGGAAAGGAUAGAACUUUCUCUCUGAAGGAGGCAAAGAUUCUGGGUCAUCUUGUACCUUCUAACCAUAUAUAGCAACUCAUGUACUUGAAGUGUGUCCAAGAUUGAUUCUUGCAUAAUUAUAUUCACUGUGAUUUCCAUAAACUCUUAAAGGAACAUCUCUGUGUAAAGAGGCUGUUAGAUCAGUCACAUAAUUUGAGUCAGGAAGAUGUAAUAAAGAGAAAAAGAAAGCUUCAGAAGCAAUGUCAAACUUUUGCCAGUAGAAAAUAAAAACUACCCCUGUCAUUUUGUUCCAAAGAAAAUGAAUUUAUCACUUUAGCCAUAGGAAGAUUUCUUUCAUUUUAUUUAAUACUCAUUUUUUCUCCCUAUAAGUUAGGGGUUGGGUAUGUUAAAAUUAUACCUCCAAUUUAGAUGCAAUAACAGUAUUUGUGCAUUUUUCAAAUUUAAUUCAGGACCUACUUUGUGUCAGGCUUUAAGCUAUGAACUGGAGAUAAAGCACUUAGUAAACAGAGAAAAAAAUCAGGAUAAAAGUACCUCCUGCAUCAAACUUAUAAUGCAGUCAUUUAAAAAGUGAACAAAUUAUUAAGGUAAUUAUAAUCUAAUCAUGCAAAUAAAGCAAAACCCAUGGUACUGUAAUAAAAUAAGAGGGUGAGUCUACUGUGGAUAAUAAGUUAGUAAAGAGGAGAUCUUCAUAAAAGGUAGUAUGUUAGCUGAGAUCCAAGAGAUGAAAAGCAGCCAUCACAUGAAGCUCAUGGUUUAAGCUCCAACAUUGAAAAGAGCCUGGAGAGUUCAAGACACUGGAAGGUCAUUGUACCUGAAGGAAAAUAGGAAAGGGAGAGAGAAAAACAAACUGAGUUUGAAGAGGUGGACAAGACUAGAACCCUGCUGAGUAGUACAGAUCUUGGUCAUGAGGAUGGAUUUCACUUAAUCUUCCUUUAAGAUUAGAGAAAAUAAAGUAAGAAAAGCGCAUUUUUAUUUUUAGUUAUAGAAAGUGUCCAUCUAAUGAAAUACUUCAAAAUUAAUUUAAACGUGCUCCUUGAAUGUUCUACCAAGUCCUGUGCUACACUCUGCUAUUGCCAGAAGGUGAAGGACUAUUCCAUCAUUUGUGUUUCUGUAUCAGCACUAAACAUAGUUACUACACAGCAGAAGUUCCAUAAAGAUAAAUAUAGUAAUAGCUUUUGAUGGUAUCCAUAAAUUUUCUAUCUGUAGAUUCUUUGUGGUUCUUUAUCUGUGUAUUUCUCUCUGUCUGAAAUUUUCUAUGGAUGAACUAGUUAUUAGAUAAAGGAAACUCAUUUUAAGAGAUGCUAAGCCCAAUUGUAGUGAAUAUUGAGAGUGAGUUAUUACCCCAAAAUUUCUUAAAUGCAAUCUUCACAGACUAUUCAUUUUCAAAGUGUGAAUCUGUUUUCCAAAAAUAAAAGCCAAAGAGCUACCUUUCUCUAUAUCUCUGCAAAUUGGGUGAAGAUAUGUGAUGUUGUCUGAUCGCCAGGAGCAUUUUUCAAGUCUUUGUGUGGGUAUAGUAUUCUUAGUCUAAGGAGUUCUGAGAAUCAGAGUGGUUCUGAGGAAAGUGGUGAUGCCUCUACAGUUUAGCCAGUGGCGGCCUAAUCUUGACUCCAACAGAACACUAUCUCCCUGAACACUGUCUCCUGUUGGUUGUGAUUCUGUAAUUCUUAACUGCAGCUCAGACUAAAAUCUAUGACUCAAGUCCUUCCAAAUCUUCUUCAAGCCAAGUAUUUGCAUAUACUAAAUACCUUCUUCUAAGCUAAAUAGAUGUGAUUCUUUGUCUUCAGAGAAGAACCUUCACGUGUACCAAACAGACCUAAAAUUAUCCAUUUCAAUUUAUCACAAUUAAUGCAAUGUCAUCAAUUUCAGAAGCAUUCCAGUGAAAGAGUCACACCACUAAAAAGUAAAAGGGGGGGGUUCCCAUUGUGUCUCAGCAGUAAGAAACCCAACUAGUAUUCAUGAGGAUGAGAGUUCAACCCCUUGCAUUGCUCAGUAGGUUAAAAAUCUGGCCUGGCUGUGGCUGUGGCAUAAGCUGGCAGCUACAGCUCCAAUUCAACCCUGGGAACUUCCAUAUGCCAUGGAUUCGGCCCUAAAAAGGGCAAAAAAAAAAAAAAAAAAA
rnacentral:lncRNA from 1 species